AAUCAGUAUUAUUGGUGUUUGAUGAGUAUUUACCACUAUAUGUAAAGUUGGGAUAUAUAAGAUACGCCAUACGAGCGUUCGUGUAAAAAGUGACAGAAGUUUCAUAUUCCUGAUUUCCCAGAAUGCCCUGUUAGGGUGAAAGAGGUUGAGGAGUCAAGGAUCAGGGCUGUACAGUAAGUCUCCUAUGUGGAGGUGAUGAAGAGAGUUGAAGGGAAAAGAGGCCACAGUUCUGAAGAAGAGAUGGAGGUGGAUGAACCACAACCAGUUGUAAAUGUUGUACGUCAAUCAAGUGAUCUGGAAACACUUAUUGUGGAGAAGGUGGUUUUUGUAACAUUUACAGCCACAGUUAUUAAUUGUACUGCAGAAGUGUCCAAGAAGUUGGAAAUCAUUAUAACUGCAGCCGAGAAGUUUUUGGGCCUCCAAGACUUAAUGGCAGAAGGACUUGAAGGACGACUGUCACCAGGAAAUGUCCCUCAUCACAGGAUCCUUCUGAGCCUGGGACCUGAUUCAAAUAUAAAAGCAGGCUGAUUUACUUUAAUUAACAUGAUAGUUUGUAUGGAAUUUGUCAUUUUAUUUUUGUUGAUUAAAUGUUUAUCCUGUUUGGAGACGUAUUAUCCACCUGAAACGUAGGUGGCGGAAUGAACAUAUUGUUGCGAACGCAAUUAUACCAUAGAAGAAGAAUCUCGCGUCCUUAUUCCAGCAAACCCGGAAGUUACAGAGACCGAGAGAGGAAUAGAAACAAUCACACAGAGCGCUACUCCAAAACAUUGAUAAGUACAAUAAACGUCACAUGAAUAAAACAUGAAUGACUUUCUGCCUCAUCCUUUUACCAUAUUGUUACUGAAGGGAGUUAAAAAUAAUGUGUGCAUUGUAUGAACUGAGAUCGCUAAAUUAACUGUGUGUCGACACAUUGCUGACGGAGCUGAAAACGGAGCAGGGAGGAGGUGUGUUAGUUUACCAAAUGCUGUCCGCGGCCAGUGACUGACUUCUCCGUCAAACGGUGAUAAUGUAUUGGGCCUGUAGCUUACUGCACAAAACUCAUUGCUACAGUAAUGUUUUUAAUUGGUUAAUGUUGUAUAGGCGUACGUUUUUUAAGUCGCGUUAAAAAGAAAAGCUGAUUGGUAGAUCUCGGCUUGCAUUUUGACUCAAAGGUUGGUGACGACUGUUCUAGAGUUUUCCCUGUUAACACCAACGUGUCCCUUUAUUGUGGUAAACGUGAUACAUGGGAUAUUAUCCACUUUCACUGCAACAAACCGAAACUAAACCAACUAUGUAAGAGAUGUUGUAGACAGGACGCAUCGGAGUAGGAUUCUAUUGCAUUGGCACGACUCAUCCUGUACUCGACACAGACCGGUGCGGCAGAAAAUCCAAUCUGCCUGACAGCCUCACCCAGAAGACACUGGGCCUUUCUAGACUGACAAAGCAGAGAUGGGUGGCUGACAAGGAAACAUAAAACAUAACACACAUUAUCCACAAUGUAAAUACGUUGGAAUGACUUAGAGCUGGAGGCCUCUCUGUGUGUAGCUCUCUGCCAAAACCCGCAGCCCCACGUCUGUGAGAAGAGGUGAGAAAAGGGCCUGUGGAUGACAGCGAGACACAGAGAGACAGUGUCUGUUUUUCUCUGAAACCAGGGCAGAUUUACAUCCCGCUGAGACAGGUUCUCAGAAACCUUGUGUUUAGAAUAACCGGGUCUUUAAACUGCACGUGCAGGGUUUGACACCAUGAGGUUUGAUCUAUAGAAGAUCCUGUCUUUCUUUUGUUCACAUCUUAGGACAGACAUCAGUUGUAUGUUGAUCGUUGACUUCUAUCUACGGCUGUAUUCUAAUUAAAAUAUCUUAAUUUUAUAUAUUCACAUUUGGAUUAUUCCUUAUUUGUUAAGUAAGCAACAAAGCAACACUACCACUCACCAAGCGGUACCGGAGCGCCAAGUCGAGGUCCAAAAGGCUUCUCAACAGCUUCUACCCCCAAGUCAUAAGACUCCUGAACAGCUAAUCAA